rnacentral:rRNA from 1 species
UACGAAGGGGGCUAGCGUUGUUCGGAAUUACUGGGCGUAAAGCGUGCGCAGGCGGCUUCUCAAGUCAGGGGUGAAAGCCCAGAGCUCAACUCUGGAAUUGCCUUUGAGACUGAGUGGCUUGAGUACGAGAGAGGUGAGUGGAAUUCCCAGUGUAGCGGUGAAAUGCGCAGAGUAUCAGGAAGAACACCCGUGGCGAAGGCGGCUCUCUGGGACGGUACUGACGCUGAGACGCGAAAGCGUGGGGAUCAAACAGG